rnacentral:rRNA from 1 species
CCUACGGGAGGCAGCAGUAGGGAAUCUUUCACAAUGGGCGAAAGCCUGAUGGAGCAACGCCGCGUGCAGGAUGAAGGCCUUCGGGUUGUAAACUGCUUUUAUAAGCGAGAAAUAUGAUGGUAACUUAUGAAUAAGGAUCGGCUAACUACGUGCCAGCAGCCGCGGUCAUACGUAUGAUCCGAGCAUUAUCCGGAGUGACUGGGUGUAAAGAGUUGCGUAGGUGGCAUAAUAAGUAGCUAGUGAAAUCUGGUGGCUCAACCAUUCAGACUAUUAGCUAAACUGUUAAGCUCGAGACCGUUAGGGGUAACUGGAAUUUCUAGUGUAGGAGUGAAAUCCGUAGAUAUUAGAAGGAACACCAAUAGCGUAGGCAGGUUGCUGGGACGGUUCUGACACUAAGGCACGAAAGCGUAGGGAGCAAACGGGAUUAGAUACCCCUGUAGUC